rfam:Triticum aestivum genome assembly, contig: Triticum_aestivum_CS42_TGACv1_scaffold_405573_5BL
AAUAUACUCCCUUGGUUCGGAAAUACUUGUGAAUGUAUCUAGAACUAAAAUACAUCUAGAUACAUUCAUUUCAAUGACAAGUAUUUCCGGACGGAGGGAGUACUAG